UUCCGGUUGAUCCUGCCGGACCCGACUGCUAUUUGGGUGAGAAUAAGCCAUGCGAGUUGAAUGGGAUACCUAAAGUUCCCAUAGCAAACUGCUCAGUAACACAUGAUCAACUUACCCUAUAGAGAAAAAUAACCUCGGGAAACUGAGGAUAAUGUUUCAUAAUUGAAUUGGCUUGGAAAAGUUUUUCAAUGAAAAGGAUAAAAAAAAUGGUUUUUAUCUGCUAUAGGAUAGGAUCGUGUUCGAUUAUGGUUGUUGGUGAGGUAAUGGCUCACCAAGCCGAUAAUCGAUAGGGGCCGUGAGAGCGGGAGCCCCGAGAUGGGUACUGAGACAACGACCCAGGCCUUACAAGGCGCAGCAGGCGCGAAACCUCCGCAAUACACGAAAGUGUGACGGGGUUACCCAAAGUGUUCAAUUUUGAACUGUGGUAGGUGAGUAAUGUUCCCUACUAGAAAGGAGAGGGCAAGGCUGGUGCCAGCCGCCGCGGUAAAACCAGCUCUUCAAGUGGUCGGGAUAAUUAUUGGGCUUAAAGUGUCCGUAGCCGGUUUAGUAAGUUCCUGGUAAAAUCGGGUAGCUUAACUAUCUAUAUGCUAGGAAUACUACUAUACUAGAGGGCGGGAGAGGUCUGAGGUACUACAGGGGUAGGGGUGAAAUCUUAUAAUCCUUGUUGGGCCACCAGUGGCGAAGGCGUCAGACUGGAACGCGCCUGACGGUGAGGGACGAAAGCCAGGGGAGCGAACCGGAUUAGAUACCCGGGUAGUCCUGGCCGUAAACGAUGCAUACUAGGUGAUGGCACGGCCAUGAGCCGUGUCAGUGCCGUAGGGAAACCGUUAAGUGUGCCGCCUGGGAAGUACGGUCGCAAGGCUAAAACUUAAAGGAAUUGGCGGGGGAGCACCACAAGGGGUGAAGCCUGCGGUUCAAUUGGACUCAACGCCGGA
rnacentral:rRNA from 1 species